UGGGGAAUUUUGGACAAUGGGGGAAACCCUGAUCCAGCCAUCCCGCGUGUGCGAUGAAGGCCUUCGGGUUGUAAAGCACUUUUGGCAGGAAAGAAACGUCAUGGGUUAAUACCCCGUGAAACUGACGUUACCUGCAGAAUAAGCACCGGCUAACUACGUGCCAGCAGCCGCGGUAAUACGUAGGGUGCAAGCGUUAAUCGGAAUUACUGGGCGUAAAGCGUGCGCAGGCGGUUCGGAAAGAAAGAUGUGAAAUCCCAGAGCUCAACUUUGGAACUGCAUUUUUAACUACCGGGCUAGAGUGUGUCAGAGGGAGGUGGAAUUCCGCGUGUAGCAGUGAAAUGCGUAGAUAUGCGGAGGAACACCGAUGGCGAAGGCAGCAUCCUGGGAUAACACUGACGCUCAUGCACGAAAGCGUGGGGAGCAAACAGG
rnacentral:rRNA from 1 species